rnacentral:rRNA from 1 species
GAGUUUGAUCCUGGCUCAGAUUGAACGCUGGCGGCAGGCCUAACACAUGCAAGUCGGGCGGUAGAGAGAAGCUUGCUUCUCUUGAGAGCGGCGGACGGGUGAGUAAUGCCUAGGAAUCUGCCUGGUAGUGGGGGAUAACGCUCGGAAACGGACGCUAAUACCGCAUACGUCCUACGGGAGAAAGCAGGGGACCUUCGGGCCUUGCGCUAUCAGAUGAGCCUAGGUCGGAUUAGCUAGUUGGUGAGGUAAUGGCUCACCAAGGCGACGAUCCGUAACUGGUCUGAAGAGGAUGAUCAGUCACACUGGAACUGAGACACGGUCCAGACUCCUACGGGAGGCAGCAGUGGGGAAUAUUGGACAAUGGGCGAAAGCCUGAUCCAGCCAUGCCGCGUGUGUGAAGAAGGUCUUCGGAUUGUAAAGCACUUUAAGUUGGGAGGAAGGGCAGUAAAUUAAUACUUUGCUGUUUUGACGUUACCGACAGAAUAAGCACCGGCUAACUCUGUG